rnacentral:rRNA from 3 species
GCAUAUCAAUAAGCGGAGGAAAAGAAACCAACCGGGAUUGCCUUAGUAACGGCGAGUGAAGCGGCAAAAGCUCAAAUUUGAAAUCUGGUACCUUCGGUGCCCGAGUUGUAAUUUGGAGAGGGCAACUUUGGGGCCGUUCCUUGUCUAUGUUCCUUGGAACAGGACGUCAUAGAGGGUGAGAAUCCCGUGUGGCGAGGAGUGCGGUUCUUUGUAAAGUGCCUUCGAAGAGUCGAGUUGUUUGGGAAUGCAGCUCUAAGUGGGUGGUAAAUUCCAUCUAAAGCUAAAUAUUGGCGAGAGACCGAUAGCGAACAAGUACAGUGAUGGAAAGAUGAAAAGAACUUUGAAAAGAGAGUGAAAAAGUACGUGAAAUUGUUGAAAGGGAAGGGCAUUUGAUCAGACAUGGUGUUUUGUGCCCUCUGCUCCUUGUGGGUAGGGGAAUCUCGCAUUUCACUGGGCCAGCAUCAGUUUUGGUGGCAGGAUAAAUCCAUAGGAAUGUAGCUUGCCUCGGUAAGUAUUAUAGCCUGUGGGAAUACUGCCAGCUGGGACUGAGGACUGCGACGUAAGUCAAGGAUGCUGGCAUAAUGGUUAUAUGCCGCCCGUCUUGAAACACGGACC